CUAGCACAUGCACGAGUCAGGGGCCAUCUCAAAGCCUGCGACACCAUGAAGGUGAGGGUCAGGGUGCACCAGCUGAGGUGGGAACCCAGGGCACUGCGAGUGAGAAGUCCCAGCCACACCACUGGACCAUCUCACCCUUGCUGCCUGCUGGAGAGGUGGAGCAUGAGCAUCCAUGCUAGGACCCAAAAGGUGGCGAACCAUGCCUGGGCAGGGCGAAGCCAGAGGAAACUCUGAUGGAGGUCCUUAGCAGUCCUGACAUAUGAAUUGGUCUGCCGGCCCGUGUCUAGGGGCUACAGACUAAUUGAACUAUCUAGCAGCUAG
rnacentral:ncRNA from 1 species